GCACCCGUAGCUCAGUGGAUUAGAGCAUUUGUCUUCGGAACAAAGGGUCGUACGUUCGAAUCGUACCGGGUGUACCA
rnacentral:tRNA from 1 species